GACGAACGCUGGCGGCGUGCUUAACACAUGCAAGUCGUACGGUAAGGCCCUUUCGGGGGUACACGAGUGGCGAACGGGUGAGUAACACGUGAGUAACCUGCCCACAACUUUGGGAUAACGCUAGGAAACUGGUGCUAAUACUGGAUAUGUGCUCCUGCUGCAUGGUGGGGGUUGGAAAGCUCCGGCGGUUGUGGAUGGACUCGCGGCCUAUCAGCUUGUUGGUGGGGUAGUGGCCUACCAAGGCGGCGACGGGUAGCCGGCCUGAGAGGGUGACCGGCCACAUUGGGACUGAGAUACGGCCCAGUCUCCUACGGGAGGCAGCAGUGGGGAAUAUUGCACAAUGGGCGCAAGCCUGAUGCAGCAACGCCGCGUGCGGGAUGACGGCCUUCGGGUUGUAAACCGCUUUCAGCAGGGACGAAGCUUUUUGUGACGGUACCUGCAGAAGAAGCACCGGCUAACUACGUG
rnacentral:rRNA from 1 species